UAAAAACAGCUUCUAAUAGCCAUUCGGGGUCUCCUUCUGAUCACCCCCUUUGAGAGACUAAUUGAAGGUGACUCAGAUGUGCUGGAAAGUAAACCUCUUGCUUUUGGAAAAGAAAAAAACAGGAUCCAUCCAGUAAACAAUGAUUUCGGGAAUCCAGUUUGUUACUAAAGAUGUUGGCUCCUUCUUGUCUGUGCUGGGGCCCUGAGCAGUCCCAGGACACCAGCUCUGCACCCAAUUCCAGAACCCCCAGAGGAUGCUGGACUCCCAGGAGCUCUAAUACACCCAGGAUUGUAAGAUGCUGAAGGAGUAUGGUGGCUUCCAGAGCAAUGGGUGAGACAUACUGAUGCCAGGACAAAGAAUGAUGUUGACCUGUGAGCUUACUGAGCACCCUGACAAUGGUGACUCAGAAACUAUAUUUGACAUAUGUUCCUGACCCACCUUUGCUUACCAAUAUGCCAGAUGGGACAAGCCUUGCCUUAAUUUUUUAGACCUUGUGGAACAGAGAAUCAAAAAGAGAAAUUAUAAUGACUCUUGUGUUUUUCUCAAAGGUGACCAGUUAUUUGGACUUAAUCAUAGACUGGCUUAGAAAUCAUUCCAAUAUUGGAAAUAACAGUCUUCAU